rnacentral:rRNA from 1 species
UGGGGAAUCUUGGACAAUGGGGGCAACCCUGAUCCAGCCAUGCCGCGUGGGUGAAGAAGGCCUUAGGGUUGUAAAGCCCUUUCAGUCGUGACGAUGAUGACGGUAGCGACAGAAGAAGCCCCGGCUAACUCCGUGCCAGCGGCCGCGGUAAUACGGAGGGGGCAAGCGUUGUUCGGAUUUACUGGGCGUAAAGGGCGCGCAGGCGGUCUGUUGCGUUAGGCGUGAAAGCCCUGGGCUCAACCCGGGAACUGCGCUUGAUACGGGCAGGCUUGAAGCCGGCAGAGGGUGGUGGAAUUCCCAGUGUAGAGGUGAAAUUCGUAGAUAUUGGGAAGAACACCGAAGGCGAAGGCAGCCAUCUGGGCCGGUCUUGACGCUGAGGCGCGAAAGCGUGGGGAGCGAACAGGAUUAGAUACCCGCGUAGUCC